AUUGAACGCUGGCGGCAUGCUUUACACAUGCAAGUCGAACGGUAACAGGCCGCAAGGUGCUGACGAGUGGCGAACGGGUGAGUAAUGCAUCGGAACGUGCCCAGUCGUGGGGGAUAACUACUCGAAAGAGUAGCUAAUACCGCAUACGAUCUAUGGAUGAAAGCGGGGGACCGUAAGGCCUCGCGCGAUUGGAGCGGCCGAUUUCAGAUUAGGUAGUUGGUGGGGUAAAGGCUCACCAAGCCAACGAUCUGUAGCUGGUCUGAGAGGACAACCAGCCACACUGGGACUGAGACACGGCCCAGACUCCUACGGGAGGCAGCAGUGGGGAAUUUUGGACAAUGGGCGCAAGCCUGAUCCAGCAAUGCCGCGUGCAGGAAGAAGGCCUUCGGGUUGUAAACUGCUUUUGUACGGAACGAAACGGCUCUGGUUAAUACCCGGGGCUAAUGACGGUACCGUAAGAAUAAGCACCGGCUAACUACGUG
rnacentral:rRNA from 1 species